rnacentral:rRNA from 1 species
UCCAGACUCCUACGGGAGGCAGCAGUGGGGGAUAUUGCACAAUGGGGGGAACCCUGAUGCAGCGACGCCGCGUGGGUGAAGGAGCGUUUCGGCGCGUAAAGCCCUAUCGGCAGGGAAGAAGGAGGACGGUACCUGACUAAGAAGCCCCGGCUAGCUACGUGCCAGCAGCCGCGGUAAUACGUAGGGGGCAAGCUUUAUCCGGAUUUACUGGGUGUAAAGGGGGCGCAGACGGCAGCGCAAGCCAGGAGUGAAAGCCCGGGGCCCAACCCCGGGACUGCUCUUGGAACUGCGCGGCUGGAGUGCAGGAGGGGCAGGCGGAAUUCCUGGUGUAGCGGUGAAAUGCGUAGAUAUCAGGAGGAACACCGGUGGCGAAGGCGGCCUGCUGGACUGCGACUGACGUUGAGGCCCGAAAGCGUGGGGAGCAAACAGGAUUAGAUACCCCUGUA